CAAUCGCCCGGGAAUACAGAGGGUGCGAGCGUUAAUCGGAUUUACUGGGCGUAAAGCGUGCGUAGGCGGCUUCUUAAGUCGGAUGUGAAAUCCCUGAGCUUAACUUAGGAAUUGCAUUCGAUACUGGGAAGCUAGAGUAUGGGAGAGGAUGGUAGAAUUCCAGGUGUAGCGGUGAAAUGCGUAGAGAUCUGGAGGAAUACCGAUGGCGAAGGCAGCCAUCUGGCCUAAUACUGACGCUGAGGUACGAAAGCAUGGGGAGCAAACAGGAUUAGAUACCCCGGUAGUCCCUGUCUCUUAUACA
rnacentral:rRNA from 1 species